rnacentral:rRNA from 1 species
AUUGAACGCUGGCGGCAGGCUUAACACAUGCAAGUCGAGCGAGCGGCGGACGGGUGAGUAAUGUCUGGGAAACUGCCUGAUGGAGGGGGAUAACUACUGGAAACGGUAGCUAAUACCGCAUACCAUCAGAUGUGCCCAGAUGGGAUUAGCUAGUAGGUGGGGUAAUUGCUCACCUAGGCGACGAUCCCUAGCUGGUCUGAGAGGAUGACCAGCCACACUGGAAUUGAGACACGGUCCAUACGCCUACGGGAGGCAGAAGUGGGAAUGAUUGCACAAUGGGCGCAAGCCUGAUGCAGCCAUGCCGCGUGUGUGAAGAAGGCCUUCGGGUUGUAAAGCACUUUCAGCGAGGAGGCGUUACUCGCAGAAGAAGCACCGGCUAGCUCCGUACCAGCAGCCGCGGUGAUUC